UUUCUGGACUUAAACUGACGCUGAGGUACGAAAGCGUGGGGAGCAAACAGGAUUAGAUACCUGGUAGUCCACGCCGUAAACGAUGAGUGCUAGGUGUCGGAGGGAGACUUUCGGUGCCGCAGUUAACACAUUAAGCACUCCGCCUGGGGAGUACGUUCGCAAGAAUGAAACUCAAAGGAAUUGACGGGGACCCGCACAAGCAGCGGAGCAUGUGGUUUAAUUCGAUGCAACGCGAAGAACCUUACCAGGGCUUGACAUUCCUCGGACCGUCUUAGAGAUAAGACCUUCUCUUCGGAGACUGAGGAACAGGUGGUGCAUGGUUGUCGUCAGCUCGUGUCGUGAGAUGUUGGGUUAAGUCCCGCAACGAGCGCAACCCUUGUCUUUAGUUGCAAACAGUCAGGCUGUGCACUCUAAAGAGACUGCCGAUGACAAAUCGGAGGAAGGUGGGGAUGACGUCAAAUCAUCAUGCCCUUUAUGUCCUGGGCUACACACGUGCUACAAUGGUCGGUACAACGGGCAGCCACUUAGUGAUAAGGAGCUAAUCCCACAAAACCGAUCCCAGUUCGGAUUGUAGGCCGCAACCCGCCUACAUGAAGCCGGAGUUGCUAGUAAUCGCGGAUCAGAAUGCCGCGGUGAAUGCGUUCCCGGGUCUUGUACACACCGCCCGUCACACCAUGGGAGUUGACAAUACCCGAAGUCGGUGAGCUAACCGUAAGGAGGCAGCCGCCGAAGGUAGGGUCAAUGACUGGGGUGAAGUCGUAACAAGGUAAC
rnacentral:rRNA from 1 species